rnacentral:rRNA from 1 species
UACAGAGGUCCCAAGCGUUGUUCGGAUUUAUUGGGCGUAAAGGGUGCGUAGGCGGCGGAGUAAGUUGGGUGUGAAAUCCCGGGGCUCAACCUCGGAAUGGCAUUCAAUACUGCUUCGCUUGAGUACUGUAGAGGAGGCUGGAAUUUACGGUGUAGCAGUGAAAUGCGUAGAUAUCGUAAGGAAGGCCGGUGGCGAAAGCGAGCCUCUGGACAGUUACUGACGCUGAUGCACGAAGGCCAGGGGAGCAAACGGG